CACUGAACACAAAUAGCUUUAGUCCCACCCCAAUACAGACGUCCGUAACUGAGCUUCCUGAAUUCAUGACUAAGACUCUGCGCUUGUUUACACACAAUAUAAUCAUCAACUAUACCUAUAGUUAAAUGAUGAAGACGGCAAAGUUUCACCAUCAAAGAUAGACUCUGCUUUUCUUUUGUUUAUGGGAAAUCUUCAUAUCUGUGUCAGUUUCCAGCACUUCAGCUCAGGAGGAGGUACUGAACAGAGCUGCAGGAGAGUCUAUAACAUUCUCUAUUCUGGUUCCUGUAUCUGGAACUAUAAGUUAUGCAAGCAGAGUCAUUGGACAGGUGUUGAAUAAACACACUGAUACAAACAGUACUGAGGAGUUUCAGAAUCGCCUCCACUGGGACAGUCAGAGUGGGUUCUUCACUCUCUCAGACCUGAGAACAGACGAUUCCGGUGUUUAUACUGUACAGAGAUACUAAAGAGGAGAACAGAAUACAAGCCUAUCAGCUGAAUGUGUACAAUAAAGUUUCAGCACCACAAUUGACAAAACUGAAGUCCAAUCCUGCAGAGAGUGACCUCUGUUUACUGCAGUGCUCAGUGAGGAAUGUGAGAGGACUGAAUCUGUUUUGGUUUAAAGGCAAAAACGUAUUAAACCACAUCAACAGCUCCAGUCGAAAUGACACACUGAAUCUGCUGUUGGAAAUUGAGGUCUGACAAUAACACCUACAGCUGUGUGGCUUCCAACCCAGUCAGUGAGCAGAUGACCACAGUUCAUAUUAUAGAGCUCUGCCGUCAUAAACCAGGUUGGAAGUCAGCUACUUUUUCUCGAAUUAACAUCUCUCCUAUUACUCUAAUAACAUCCACGGCAGUGGCAGUAAUCGGGAUGGUUGUGUUUCUAUGGAGUAAGAAAUCCAUGUGUCUGCAAGAAAAACAGCAAAAUGAUCUUGAUCUACUCACAAAAGUGAUUUAUACGAGAAAUGGUCCCUAAUGAAGUAAGAUAAUUACAUCAAAAGAUUCAGCCACAUGAAGCAAGGGCCUUCAUCCCCUUCAUCCAACAGCAGUGAAGAUUAAACAGAUAAACAGGAAAGUGGUGGUUAUAAACACAGCUCAUCUGUUCUUCUGUAUGUACACUGUGCAGCUUUUACACUGAACCUACUUCAUUAUGUAUUCAAUAUGCUUUUAAAAUAUACACACUGUACUACCUUUAUGGAAAAUGUUGAUUUAUGUAAAAGCUAUUACAUUUUAAAGAAUGUUUAAAUAAAUUUUAAGUUACAUUAAACUGGAGAAGAAUUAUGAAAUAAAAUAAGUGACUUUUAUCUGCA